UUAGGUGCUCUUCUAGUUUAUUCCAUGUUUUUAACUUUGACUCUGUGUUUUCACUGUAAAGCACUUUGCUGAAAAACAAAGUGUCUCCAACGUUCACGCCAACAUGAAGCCUCUCUAAAACACUACAAUACCCAUGAGCCUCAGGGGCUACAGAGAAGAAGCCAGCCAGAGAACUGAUCCCGAAUGAGAGCAUGAUUAAUGUUCACUUCACUGCCCACACAGACUUCUUCUCGUUAGUGUUAGUGGUUGUACCGGCCCUUUAAAGCCAUUUCAACGGGUAAAAGGGGGCAGUGACGGAUAAGAUUCCCCACUGUGACCCAUCCACCAACAUGUCCCCGAGCACUUAGCUUAGCUUUGGAUAGAAGCGUCAGCUGAAUGAAUAAAUGUGAAAGCGCUGGAUUGGAUUUGGAUAAGAAUCAUUGGGACACUUUGUUUUUAUAAAUAUAAUCUGUUUUCCAAACAUAAAGCCACAUUAGAUUCCAUCUGCAAAGACUAAUAUUCCUGCAGGCGUGUAGGCGCUGGGCCGUAAAAACUACAAGACAUCCCAGAGGUCAAAGGUCAGAGUUCAUCCCGAGGCUCUGGGGGAAACGAGACGCCAUGACAGACGGCUGCCAUCACAACAAACAGACGCAUCAUCACCUCCCGUCAUGCAUGACUCCACGGACCCCCUGAGGUCCAGCUGCCCCCAGACCCUGAGACUGGACUCACAGCACCAGGCUGCACUUUCCCUCUGAGGCAGAGCUGACUUCCAGCGCCGUGGUCAGCUGACCUGGGAGCAGCGUCUGGCUGUGGGUUUGUUUGUUUGUGCCACUGAGCGUCUCGGCGGGGCGGAGCCAAGAGGCAGAACAAUGGCCGACUGUUCUGGAGACACAGCGGAGUUCUUUAACCACGACGUCUCGUCCUGUUGCGGCCGGACAGACGCCUGCUGUGACUUCAGACGGCCAAUCGGCUUCUGUCUGCUCACAAUCACCGAGGGUGGACAAAAUAUCAGAAACACGACAGACAAACAGGAAGCCGCGUGAGCGUGUGCGGCGCCUCGUGACCUCCGCGGGGUUUUCAGACACAUCAUGUACCUUCAGCUUCAUUCUCAGCUGACCUCAGAUCAGAUUUGGUUUCAUGUUCUCAAACCAACAGAAUUCUGCACGUCCAGUACCGUCGCCUCCUCAGCGGUGACUCACGAUUGGUCGGUUAAAGACAGAAAGAAACAUUUAGUCCUGAACAUGUUGACGCAUCACUUCCUGUCAGUCUGACUGAUCUGUGAUCAGCUGGUGAGUCACGCUGUUCACCUGCUCAGUUACAAAACCUGAGAGUUUUACCUCCCCUCUGUGGAGGAGCGUCAGAGUUCCUGCGUGCCUCGAAUGCCUCGCUCUGGCAGGAUUAACCCCUCGUGUCCCGGCAGCUCACUGAGCUUUGUUACCAUCUGAUCACGCCUGGGAUUUGAAAAUAAGGCCGCACAGUGAAAAAUGUUCGACAGUAUUCUCAAUAAAAAUAAAAGUAUAACGUUAA